AGAGUUUGAUCCUGGCUCAGGACGAACGCUGGCGGCGUGCUUAACACAUGCAAGUCGAACGAGGUUGAUUCCUUCGGGGAUCAAUCGAGUGGCGGACGGGUGAGUAACGCGUGAGCAAUCUGUCCCGUAAAGGGGGAUACCAACUGGAAACAGUUGCUAAUACCGCAUAAGACCACGGUGUCGCAUGGCACAGAGGUAAAAGUGGAAACACGAUACGGGGUGAGCUCGCGUCCCAUUAGGCAGUUGGUGAGGUAACGGCCCACCAAACCUACGAUGGGUAGCCGACCUGAGAGGGUGACCGGCCACAUUGGGACUGAGACACGGCCCAGACUCCUACGGGAGGCAGCAGUGGGGAAUAUUGGGCAAUGGGCGAAAGCCUGACCCAGCAACGCCGCGUGAGGGAAGAAGGUUUUCGGAUUGUAAACCUCUGUCCUGAAGGACGAAGGAAGUGACGGUACUUCAGGAGGAAGCCCCGGCUAACUACGUGCCAGCAGCCGCGGUAAUACGUAGGGGGCGAGCGUUGUCCGGAAUGACUGGGCGUAAAGGGCGUGUAGGCGGCCAUGUAAGUCCGGAGUGAAAGUCCGCUUUUCAAGGGCGGAAUUGCUUUGGAGACUGCGUGGCUUGAGUACAGAAGAGGUAAGCGGAAUUCCCGGUGUAGCGGUGAAAUGCGUAGAGAUUGGGAGGAACACCAGUGGCGAAGGCGACUUACUGGACUGUAACUGACGCUGAGGCGCGAAAGUGUGGGGAGCAAACAGGAUUAGAUACCCUGGUAGUCCACACUGUAAACGAUGAAUGCUAGGUGUAGGGGGUAUCGACCCCUUCUGUGCCGCAGUUAACACAAUAAGCAUUCCGCCUGGGGAGUACGGCCGCAAGGUUGAAACUCAAAGGAAUUGACGGGGGCCCGCACAAGCAGCGGAGCAUGUGGUUUAAUUCGACGCAACGCGAAGAACCUUACCAGGUCUUGACAUCCAUUUAAAGCCAUAGAGAUAUGGUGUGAGCUUGCUCGAAAUGAGACAGGUGGUGCAUGGUUGUCGUCAGCUCGUGUCGUGAGAUGUUGGGUUAAGUCCCGCAACGAGCGCAACCCUUAUUUUCAGUUACUAACACGUAGAGGUGAGGACUCUGAAGAGACUGCCGGGGACAACUCGGAGGAAGGUGGGGACGACGUCAAAUCAUCAUGCCCCUUAUGACCUGGGCUACACACGUGCUACAAUGGCCACCACAGAGAGGGGCGAACCCGCAAGGGGGAGCGGAUCUCAAAAAAGUGGUCCCAGUUCGGAUUGUGGGCUGCAACCCGCCCACAUGAAGUCGGAGUUGCUAGUAAUCGCGGAUCAGCAUGUCGCGGUGAAUACGUUCCCGGGCCUUGUACACACCGCCCGUCACACCAUGGGAGUUGGGAGUGCCCAAAGUCGGUGAGGUAACCGCAAGGAGCCAGCCGCCUAAGGCAAGACCAAU
rnacentral:rRNA from 1 species